rnacentral:rRNA from 1 species
AGGGGGAUAACUACUGGAAACGGUAGCUAAUACCGCAUAAUGUCUACGGACCAAAGUGGGGGACCUUCGGGCCUCAUGCCAUCAGAUGUGCCCAGAUGGGAUUAGCUAGUAGGUGGGGUAAUGGCUCACCUAGGCGACGAUCCCUAGCUGGUCUGAGAGGAUGACCAGCCACACUGGAACUGAGACACGGUCCAGACUCCUACGGGAGGCAGCAGUGGGGAAUAUUGCACAAUGGGCGCAAGCCUGAUGCAGCCAUGCCGCGUGUGUGAAGAAGGCCUUCGGGUUGUAAAGCACUUUCAGCGAGGAGGAAGGGUUCAGUGUUAAUAGCACUGUGCAUUGACGUUACUCGCAGAAGAAGCACCGGCUAACUCCGUGCCAGCAGCCGCGGUAAUACGGAGGGUGCAAGCGUUAAUCGGAAUUACUGGGCGUAAAGCGCACGCANGCGGUUUGUUAAGUCAGAUGUGAAAUCCCCGCGCUUAACGUGGGAACUGCAUUUGAAACUGGCAAGCUAGAGUCUUGUAGAGGGGGGUAGAAUUCCAGGUGUAGCGGUGAAAUGCGUA